rnacentral:rRNA from 1 species
GAACCUGCGGAAGGAUCAUUAUCGAAUCGUCGACACGAGUUGUUGCUGGUCCUCUAUGGGGGCACGUGCACGCUCUGUUUACACAUCCACUCACACCUGUGCACCUUUUGCGGUUCCGUGGUUUGGGAGACCCUGUCUUCCUUCUGUGGUUCUGCGUCUUUACACACACGCUGUAACAAAGUUUUAUGGAAUGUAUGUCGCGUUUAACGCAUAAAAUACAACUUUCAGCAACGGAUCUCUUGGCUCUCGCAUCGAUGAAGAACGCAGCGAAAUGCGAUAAGUAAUGUGAAUUGCAGAAUUCAGUGAAUCAUCGAAUCUUUGAACGCACCUUGCGCCCUUUGGCUAUUCUGAAGGGCAUGCCUGUUUGAGUAUCAUGAACACCUCAACUCUCGUGGUUCUCCAUGACGAGCUUGGACUUUGGGGGUCUUGUUGGCCUGUGGUCAGCUCCUCUAAAAUGCAUCAGCUUUCCAGUGUUUGGUGGCAUCACGGGUGUGAUAACUAUCUACGCUUGUGCUUGUUUGCCAGAUAACCUCCGGCAACGGAGGUUCGCUGGGGCUCACAAACGUCUCUCCUUUGCGGGGACAGCUUUUUAACGUUCGAUCUCAAA